rnacentral:tRNA from 1 species
UAGGGAAUUUUUUUCCAAGAAUAACUUUUAAACAUUGGUCCGGGCUAUUAGCUCAGUUGGUUAGAGCGUACCCCUGAUAAGGGUAAGGUCUCUGGUUCAAAUCCAGAAUGGCCCAACGGGGGUAUAGCUCAGUUGGUAGAGCACUGCUUUUGCACGGCAGUAGCCAGCGGUUCGAAUCCGCUUACCUCCACACCGAGAAUCGAAACUUUAGAACCUUGAAAGUAUAUAAUU